UGGGGAAUUUUGGACAAUGGGCGCAAGCCUGAUCCAGCCAUGCCGCGUGCGGGAAGAAGGCCUUCGGGUUGUAAACCGCUUUUGUCAGGGAAGAAAUCUUCUGAGUUAAUACCUCGGGAGGAUGACGGUACCUGAAGAAUAAGCACCGGCUAACUACGUGCCAGCAGCCGCGGUAAUACGUAGGGUGCAAGCGUUAAUCGGAAUUACUGGGCGUAAAGCGUGCGCAGGCGGUUUUGUAAGACAGAGGUGAAAUCCCCGGGCUCAACCUGGGAACUGCCUUUGUGACUGCAAGGCUUGAGUGCGGCAGAGGGGGGAUGGAAUUCCGCGUGUAGCAGUGAAAUGCGUAGAUAUGCGGAGGAACACCGAUGGCGAAGGCAAUCCCCUGGGCCUGCACUGACGCUCACGCACGAAAGCGUGGGGAGCAAACAGGAUUAGAUACCCUGGUAGUCCACGCCCUAAACGAUGUCAACUGGUUGUUGGGAAGGUUCCUUCUCAGUAACGUAGCUAACGCGUGAAGUUG
rnacentral:rRNA from 1 species